rfam:Trichobilharzia regenti genome assembly, scaffold: TRE_scaffold0026846
AUCCAGCCGAUGAGUCCCAAACAGGACGAAAUGUGCAUCCCGGAU